AAGUCGUAACAAGGUUUCCGUAGGUGAACCUGCGGAAGGAUCAUUAGUACACAGCUUCAGGCUGAACACUAGUCAUACUGUGAAUUUAUACCACCCUGCCCAGUGAGCGCAGAGCUCUCAAAGUGCAUGCAUUAUGCAGCUGGGCGCGUUUCUCUCUAUGAGAUUCGCAAUGCCUUUGAUAUUAUUAACUGUAAACUAUAUAUUAUAAACACACUUUCAACAAUGGAUCUCUUGGUUCUU
rnacentral:misc_RNA from 1 species